AACCUAGCACACCUGCGGUGUGUACCUGCGGAGGGAUCAUUAAAAAAACUGGUUUUGCCCCUCGCGACCUCCGCAUCCGAGGCAAAAGAACCCACACUGUGUGCACUGUUACCGUUUUCUUUGGCAGGGGCUUGGGGUGUUCUCGCACCUCAACUUCUCCUCUGGCUCCACCCCAAUGUUAUAAUCCCUUCGUGGGGGGUUUUUUUUUUUGGGACAGCCGGACAUGGGAAGCCGUACCCU
rnacentral:misc_RNA from 1 species